rnacentral:rRNA from 1 species
GACGAACGCUGGCGGCGUGCUUAACACAUGCAAGUCGAACGGGCCUGUCUUCUUUUUUGGGGGUGGGUUGAGUGGCGAACGGGUGAGUAUCACGUGAGUAACCUGCCCUUCGGUCCUGGAUAACCGCUUGAAAGGGCGGCUAAAACGGGGUGGUCCGGUUGGUCCGCAUGGGCUGGUCGGGAUAGAUUCACUGUUUUUGGUUUUUCGGCGGGGGAUGGGCUCGGGGCCUAUCAGCCUGUUGGUGGGGUGUUGGCCUACCGAGGCGGUGACGGGUAGCGGGCCGGAGGGGGUGGGCGGCCAGACGGGGACUGAGGUACGGCCCAGACUGCGGCGGGGGGCAGCGGUGGGGGGGAUUGCACAAGGGGCGGAAGCCUGAUGCAGCGACGUCGCGUGAGGGAGGGAGGCCUUCGGGUUGUGAACCUCUGUUUCCGGUGGUGAAGGCCCUGUCCGUGUGGUGGGGUUGACGGUAGCCGGGGAUGAAGCGCCGGCUAACUACGUG